GCAAGGGUUGACUCAAGACGGAACACACCGAGACGUAUGGUGUCAGGCUGGGAAUCACACACCGAGAGGAAGUUCAAAAUCCAGCCAGGUGGAGGACUGGAAAUCCAAGAAUCAGAUCCUGAGGAACCUCCUACGACAGCACGGCAUUGUGGGAUCAUCCAGCACAGACCCCCAGUGAGAACCCUGAUGCCCCGGGGUAUUUGAAGACAACCGCGUAUGGGCCAAAAGAGUACUUGAAAUGCUUUGAGAUACUUUAUUUGUGAUCGAGAGUGCAUGAAAACAAUUGAAUAUGGUCAUUGGUAUUCAAAUCCAGCAUCACUGCAUCAUGAAAUCUUUGAAUAUUAUCUUAAAUGCUUUUUACAACAUUGAAAUGUAAAGAAUGUAAUUGAAAGUCAUCAGUCAAACAAAGCCCUUGUAGAAUGCCUUCCUCCACAAACAUUAUGAUUAACCUCCAGUACAGUAAGCUCCAAAACAUGACCAGCUACUCAUGUCACUUUUUUUUUAACUUCUGCAGUACCGUGCUUCUCUGCAUCAAAUGCACUCAUGUUAAUGUAUCAUUGUAUCCAUGCUUUGACUUGUUUUGAUCUAAUCAAUAUCACUAAGACCAGAUGAUACCAACUUCAUAGUUCAGCUCUUUGCUUUGUAUUUUUGUACGUUUCAUAAAACCUUACUGGGGACAAUAAUUUAAUUGCUACCAUUUAACCUAAUAAAGUAACAGAGGUUGGUUAGCUUUUCAUUGUAGGUAGGCUAUGUAUGUCUUUAUAAUAAAAGGAAAAAGCAAAUAAUAUACUGUACGUACAUAAGCCACUGUUUAUUAAAGGCGGUAAAUUGGUUAAAAUAUGA